rnacentral:rRNA from 1 species
GUAGUCAUAUGCUUGUCUCAAAGAUUAAGCCAUGCAUGUCUAAGUAUAAACAAAUUUGUAAUGUGAAACUGCGAAUGGCUCAUUAAAUCAGUUAUAGUUUAUUUGAUAAUACCUUACUACUUGGAUAACCGUGGUAAUUCUAGAGCUAAUACAUGCAAUAACAUCCCGACUUCUGGAAGGGAUGUAUUUAUUAGAUAAAAAACCAACCCGGCAACGGUUCUUUGGUGAUUCAUGAUAACUUUUCGAAUCGCAUGGCUUUACGCCGGCGAUGGUUCAUUCAAAUUUCUGCCCUAUCCACUUUCGAUGGUAGGAUAGAGGCCUACCAUGGUUUUAACGGGUAACGGCGAAU